rnacentral:rRNA from 1 species
CCUACGGGAGGCAGCAGUGGGGGAUAUUGCACAAUGGGGGAAACCCUGAUGCAGCGACGCCGCGUGAGCGAUGAAGUAUUUCGGUAUGUAAAGCUCUAUCAGCAGGGAAGAAAAUGACGGUACCUGACUAAGAAGCCCCGGCUAACUACGUGCCAGCAGCCGCGGUAAUACGCAGGGGGCAAGCGUUAUCCGGAUUGACUGGGUGUAAAGGGAGCGCAGGCGGGAAGCCAAGUCAGCUGUGAAAACUACGGGCUUAACUUGUAGACUGCACUUGAAACUGGUUUUCUUGAGUGAAGUAGAGGUUGGCGGAAUUCCGGGUGUAGCAGUGAAAUGCGUAGAUAUUCGGAGGAACACCGGUGGCGAAGGCGGCCUACUGGGCUUUAACUGACGCUGAGGCUCGAAGGUGUGGGGAGCGAACGGGAUUAGAUACCCUUGUAGUC